rnacentral:rRNA from 1 species
GAUGAACGCUGGCGGCGUGCCUAAUACAUGCAAGUCGAGCGAACAGAUGAGGAGCUUGCUCCUCUGACGUUAGCGGCGGACGGGUGAGUAACACGUGGAUAACCUACCUAUAAGACUGGGAUAACUUCGGGAAACCGGAGCUAAUACCGGAUAAUAUAUUGAACCGCAUGGUUCAAUAGUGAAAGACGGUUUUGCUGUCACUUAUAGAUGGAUCCGCGCCGCAUUAGCUAGUUGGUAAGGUAACGGCUUACCAAGGCAACGAUGCGUAGCCGACCUGAGAGGGUGAUCGGCCACACUGGAACUGAGACACGGUCCAGACUCCUACGGGAGGCAGCAGUAGGGAAUCUUCCGCAAUGGGCGAAAGCCUGACGGAGCAACGCCGCGUGAGUGAUGAAGGUCUUCGGAUCGUAAAACUCUGUUAUUAGGGAAGAACAAAUGUGUAAGUAACUAUGCACGUCUUGACGGUACCUAAUCAGAAAGCCACGGCUAACUACUUG